GAGUUUGAUCCUGGCUCAGGACGAACGCUGGCGGCGUGCCUAAUACAUGCAAGUCGAGCGGGGCUCUUCGGAGCCUAGCGGCGGACGGGUGAGUAACACGUGGGUAACCUGCCUGAUAGACUGGGAUAACGCUUGGAAACGAGUGCUAAUACCGGAUAGGCUCCUUGACCGCAUGGUCUUGGAGGGAAAGAGGCUUCUGCCUCACUGUCAGAUGGACCCGCGGCGCAUUAGCUAGUUGGUGGGGUAACGGCCCACCAAGGCGACGAUGCGUAGCCGACCUGAGAGGGUGACCGGCCACACUGGGACUGAGACACGGCCCAGACUCCUACGGGAGGCAGCAGUAGGGAAUCUUCCACAAUGGGCGCAAGCCUGAUGGAGCAACGCCGCGUGAGUGAUGACGGCCUUCGGGUUGUAAAACUCUGUCUUCUGUGACGAACAAGCCUGUGACUGGAAUGCUCAGGCCCUGACGGUAACAGAGGAGGAAGCCACGGCUAACUACGUGCCAGCAGCCGCGGUAAUACGUAGGUGGCAAGCGUUGUCCGGAAUUAUUGGGCGUAAAGCGCGCGCAGGCGGUUCCUUAAGUCUGAUGUGAAAGCCCCCGGCUCAACCGGGGAGGGUCAUUGGAAACUGGGGAACUUGAGUACUGAAGAGGAAAGCGGAAUUCCACGUGUAGCGGUGAAAUGCGUAGAGAUGUGGAGGAACACCAGUGGCGAAGGCGGCUUUCUGGUCAGUAACUGACGCUGAGGCGC
rnacentral:rRNA from 1 species